AAGAAAUACAACAUGUAUUUCUUGAUAAUUAGGAAAUGAUAAACAGUUGCUACAGUAAGACCAUGCAUGUGUCUCAGAUCUACUUCUUUUCCUAGGCUGGAUUUUCUAAAUGCUGCUGACAGGU
ensembl:snoRNA LOC120102623 small nucleolar RNA SNORA72